UAUUGGACAAUGGGCGCAAGCCUGAUCCAGCCAUGCCGCGUGAGUGAUGAAGGCCUUCCCGUUGUAAAGCUCUUUUGCCGGGGACGAUAAUGACGGUACCCGGAGAAUAAGUCCCGGCUAACUUCGUGCCAGCAGCCGCGGUAAUACGAAGGGGACUAGCGUUGUUCGGAAUCACUGGGCGUAAAGCGCACGUAGGCGGAUUUGUAAGUCAGGGGUGAAAUCCCGGGGCUCAACCUCGGAACUGCCUUUGAUACUGCGAAUCUUGAGUCCGAUAGAGGUGGGUGGAAUUCCUAGUGUAGAGGUGAAAUUCGUAGAUAUUAGGAAGAACACCGGUGGCGAAGGCGGCCCACUGGAUCGGUACUGACGCUGAGGUGCGAAA
rnacentral:rRNA from 1 species